UAUGUAUGAUUUUAAGUAAACCAUGGUGCGUUUGUAAUGAACUGCCUCAAGUUUUUGAGGCACUAUAGAUUAAGAAGAGAACUAUGGGAAUAAAGUUUGAUUAUGUAAUGUUUUAUGUGGUUUGAGUUGUAAUACUUGCUGUUUGCAUAAUAAAAUCGUUUGUAGUUUAUGUUAAUCUCUUUCGUUUUUUUGUAACAGUGUUAUAUCAUUAUACAUACGCUCAGGGUGGGCGAGAAAAAUAGAUGUAAAUAUGUCUCUGGCUGAGGAAUUACAUUUCAUAAAUGAAAAGACCAGACACCUAGAGACUCUAUUGAGGAUUUGUCACCAACAUUUCAAACUUCACUAAAUAUAUGAAAGUGCCAGAAAAAAUAUCUUAGAAGAUUUGAUGUGCCCAAAGCUAUUAAAACUCAUAGUGUCAGUAACAUCACCGGUAUUCAUGUUAAUCGUUAGUCGUCCACUUGGCACCGGCACGCCGCAUACCCCACCGGCCAAUAAUAAUGAGAUAUUUAUCUGUACUAUUGAUAUGAAAAAGACUUUUCAAAAAGGAAAAUAUAAUUUCUUGGUUUUCUUAGACCCUUUCUAAUGUUUUAUUUUUAUCUUCAAAAUGAAAAAUUGAAUAGUGUAUCUUUAUAUUUGAAGAUAUACAAUUCACUUUGAAUAUGAACUUUAUUAUUUACAAAAUAAUCUUUCAAAUUAUAAUAAGUAUUUAUUUUAUACUAAAAAAAUUAUUUAUUUUAUUUUAGUCCAAUCAAACUAAAAUGCAAAAAUAUUAAAUGAAAAAACAAAUAACAUACCCAACAUAAAACUUAAAAUACAUAAUUAAUGCUGACAUUAAAUAUUAAAGACAUAACAUAGAUUAAAAACUUAUAAUAACAUAACAUAUACUACUAACAUAUAUGUCUACAAUUAUACCAUAAAUAUAUGUUUUAAUUAAUUAUAUGUAAUGUGAUUUUCUUUAUAAUAAUGUAUUUUAUAUAAAUUAUUGAAUUAUUUCCUUAUUAUAAAAUAAAUAGGUUAAAGUUCAUAAGUUUAUAUAGUAAAAGGUAAUAUUCAUAAUUAAUAAUAAAAUAGAGAUAGAAUAUAUUUAAGAAUAUUCUUUUUGAAGUAGAAAAUGAAGGAAACCAUUGAAAAAGUCUUUCUUCUUUUUUUUUCUUUAAUUUUGAAGAAACUUUAAUUUUGAAGAAAUAUUUGAAGAUAACCAUUAAAGAUGCCCUUAUAAUAACAAAAUAAAAAGUUGAGGACUGGCAAAACAAGACUCUUUACUAAUCGGAGACUUUCGUGUGUGUUUGUUUUUUUCUUUUGGCGUCGUCACGGAGAAACACCAAACGCCCCGUCACACUUGAUAACUUGGAUAGAUAAGCAAGUCCGCAACCAACUCACCACCAUUUAACGUACGGGAGAUCGAAGAUACAACAAGGGCAUGCACGACUGGUUCAAGACCAGAAACUGAUCACUCUCGACUCAGCUUUCAUAUUUGCUAAACGUUGCACAAGUGCUAAAAAUAUUAUGGUUUUCUUUUGAAUAUAAUUUAACAUUAUUUCAAAACAAAAAAAUAAAAGGUAAAUGAAUUUGAUCCAAAGAAGAAUCUUGUAAUCCAUAAGAAAAUCAGAGAUCAACACAAAAUCCCGAGAAAUCAACAAAUAAAUCCCGUUAUCCAAAACAUUAUUCAACAUAAACACUAGACAACGAGUCUCGACCGCUUGAUUAAUUAAAAAUAGUUUGGUAAUAAUACGGAAAAAAGGACGAAACAUAGUUUGAUAGCAAUCAGUUGCAUGGACAUGGACGUAAACAUGAAUGUGUGUAUGAAAGAGAUCUUUAAAACUUAUAGUUACGUCAUUUUCCACAAUCACUUUCACGAAUACGAAAACAAUCAAAAUCACGUUAAUGACAUUGCCUGCGUUCAGGCCACGAUAGUUAUUAAAAUGUUAUCAUAUUCAUUUCAUAAAAUGUUGUGGAACCUCUUGGAAGUGAUUAAUCAUUCUUUAUCAGUGGGCUCGUUAUAUUUUUCUUAAAACGCACAUGAGUUCGGGGUUAAAAUCUUCUUUGAAACAACAUGAGUUCAGAUUUUAAUUGGAGAGAUCGAAAGUGUCAAAAUGUGUUUAUUGAUGUGUUCGAAAGUGAGUACGAAACAAAUUUAUAUUAGUAUAUAUUUUUGUAUGAAAUAAUUUAUAAAUUUGAUAAUUUUGUAUUUUUAUCCAAUUUCGCUAAAUUUGAUAUUUUAUCUGUAUAUAAUAGUUUUUGAUACAGUUAUCAAAUACAAAUUCUGUUGACACAGUAUUAAAACUAGAAAAUUAUUUUAUUUAUCGCCUAUUUUAAUUGCAGUGUUCCAGUCCAAUAAUGGAAUUCUAAUAUAUUUUUGUUUUUGUUUUUUAGCCAACGAAUCUAGAUGUCUAUAUGUGUGUGAAUGCAUUGAGUUUAAGAAGUUAAUAGAGUUUUUAUAAAAGACUAGUGGAGUUUAUCAUUGAUGGAGUUGCAAAUUUAUUUAACGUGAAUCCAACAAGUGUUGAGUUUAAAAGGUUAAUAGAGUUUAUAUAAAAAGACUAGUGGAGUUACCAUUUAUGUAGUGUCAAAUAUAUUUACCGUGAAUCCAACCACCAACCAUAAGGGAACCGAGUUAAUCGACGUGUACAUAUACUUUGGUACUUAUCUCCUUACCUCUUUGUAUUUACUGUGACUAAAAAAAUACAUUCACUCUAGUGGACUACUGAUUACUUUAUUUAACUCUCUCUUCAUUCUCUAUAAAUAGUGAAUGUUUUGAGUAACAUUUUAUCCAUCACUUGAUUCAGUUGUGUUUUGCAUAAAAAGAGAAGUUUAAGCAGUUGAUAAGAAUGGCUUCCAAGGCUUUAGUUCUGUUUGGUCUAUUUGCAGUUCUUCUCGUCGUCACAGAAGUUGCCGCUGCAUCCGGUACGUAAAUAUUAAUGUUGAAACCUUAUUAUAUGUAAGAGACCAUCUCAACUAUUUUUAUAGCAUGUUUUAUAUAGAGUAUUUUCAAUGUUGUCAAUAUUAUUUUUAAAAGUCAAAAUUAAUUUACAUUCGUAUUUUUCAUAGUUGGUUUAAGAGAAGAAAUAGUUUUGAAAUUUGGGAGAGUAAUAUCUUAUGAAAUUAUGUGUUGUUUUGGAUAGGUACAGUGAAGUCAGAGAGUGGGGAAACCGUGCAACCUGAUCAAUAUAAUGGCGGUCACGGCGGCAAUGGAGGCUACAACGGAGGAGGAGGUUACAACGGAGGAGGAGGUCACAACGGAGGAGGUUACAACGGAGGAGGAGGAUACAAUGGAGGAGGACACGGAGGAAGACAUGGUUACUGUCGCUAUGGCUGUUGCUACAGAGGUUACCAUGGCUGUUCAAGGUGUUGUUCGUAUGCUGGAGAAGCUGUUCAGACUCAGCCUGGUCACUAAAUUAAACAAUAUAAUAAGUUGACCACCAUGCAUGAUUGUACCUAGAUAUACACUUACGUGUAUAUGACUAUAGGUUAAUUAAUUAUGGUGCGUUUGUAAUGAAGUGCCUUAUAAGUAAUGGGAAUAAAGUUUCAUGUAAUGUCUGUGUUUAAGUUGUGAUCUGAGAUGUUUGCAUAAUAAAAUCUUGUUUGUUGUUUACACUAUUAUCUUAAGUUUUUGUGUAAGAGUUUUCCAUUAUCAUACUUUCUAGGUCGAAGAAAAACACCUAGAGACUCUAUCGAGGUUUUGCACACACGUACCUAUACUUCCAAAGUUAACUAAAUAUACGAAAGUACCAUAAAUUAUCUCACAUUUGAUGUGCCAAAAGAUAUUGGAAACUUAUUGUGUCAGGUUACUUGAGGCUCAGAAAUUUGACCCUUUUGUGUCUCACAAGCUUGCACUGACUCGGUGUUUAGGUUUCAGUGCCUCCCAACGAAUAAAAACAGUCGCUAAGUGUAGGGAGGAGUAGUUGAAUGCCAUUUAAUCAGACUGGAAGAUUGGUUAAGAGCUGAGACUAAAAAUAAAGUUUGCAUUUAUGUUUAAUUAUAUUGAAGACUAAAUUUGUAAUAUUCUAAACGAUGGUGGUACAUGAGCAAGAGUUAAUAAAAAUUUAUUUGGUUACUUGUAGCAUUAAAGUAUCAUAUUUAUACAACAACUACUGUACAAACCUUUUCAACAGACUUGCGCAUCAAUAUGCUGGAUGUCUUGAUCGGACGCAGUUUGACAAGAUUAUUGAUAGACCUCUGCGUAAAGACGUUGUUAUCUUCUUCAGAAGGUACGAAAUAGCAAUGGACGAGAUAAUUUGGAAGGCAAAGAGUUGGAGUGCUAGUGGGAAGCGAUGGAAUGCGUAAGAGUGUUGCUUGCAACCAAUCAAGAGUUUUUCAACAUCAGACUCUUCUUUGAAACUUGCGAUAAGAUCCAAUGUAAGGAGGAAUGACGUCCUUCCUAGGGAUAUUUGCAGAAGAAAUCCAGGUUCUUCAUCAGCUCAACUGUCAUAAAUUUUGGUCUCAUGGGAGGAGACGAAUCACAAGUUAGCACCCCAUCCACAAUAAUUAUGAGUGCCAAAGCUAAUUUCUUCCAUGCAGUCAUGUCAGUUUCAACUAUCAACUGAUCUUUUAAAUCUCAAUUGUAUGGCGGAAAACACUUUAAACCCAUUGAUGAAUUGAAGAUUUCUGAUUUGAAAUGUCUAAAAUUACCCUAGAUUUCAUAUUACCAGAUACCCUAACGAAUUUUGAAAUAAAAGUUAGAGCCAUACUUGUCGUCGCCGCCGAUGACACAGUAUCUUCCGAAAUUCCUCGCCGACUUUUCUUCUUCAUCUCCGUCUUUUGAGUUCUUCUAAAAACAGUAAAUCGAGAAAUCAAAAAAUCCUUUAAUUGUUAGACCCUUUAACACGAACUCGAUCAAAAUUUUCGCCACUUAAACAACAACUCGAACUCGAACAGAGCCUCAAUCGGAAUUCUAUUAAGUUUCCGCCACUUAAAAUUUUUGCUAUUUAAUUUUAAGUUUUAAAAACAAAACCGUAACCAAAAGAAACAAAGCAACUGAAAGUGAACAGUCUCUGAGCAGUUGUUGUUGAAAGGUAUUUUCGUCCAGUUUAGCCUAAAUGGCUAAAACAUCGAAGGCCCAGCCCACUCUGCCAAUUCCUAGAAUAAAAAGACAAUAAUUAUGGUGAAAAUUCUUUAUUUUGAAUUUGUCAAUUCUAACCAGUACCAUAUCUCUAUUGUUUUACUCAUUAGUCUUGUUAUUGUUCACAAAUUUAUUCCUUAGUUAAAAAUUAAAAUAUAUUCUACAUUUAUUAUUCUUAUAAAUGACAAUUAGUAUAAGUAAAUAUAGCUUAUCCCAAAUAUUCUCAUUUUGGAUAUGUAAACUUUUUAAUAUUCCUUUUGUAUUUUAUUUUCUGAUGAAUAAAUAUCUUUUUCUCAUGUAAAAAUAUACAACAGCAGAGAUAAGUCCAAUAAAUUCAAGAGAAGCAAAACUGUACUAUCUUAUUCUUAACUCUUAGUAUUCGAGUUCGAUUACCAGAAAGAUUGUUCUCAGUUUACAAGAAGAGGCGUGUCUCCUGCAAAACUCUAUACAAAACAUUAAAACCCAUGGAAAAAGACGUAUAAUUAAACUGAAAUAUACAAAGCAUAAACAAAAUGUCAGAAAUAUAAUAAGUAAAGAAUGGCAGAACUAGUAUGGCAUGUAUUUACUUUUACAUUUAGGUAUUUAGUUUAUGUCACCAGUAUUCUAUCUCCAUUAUGAAUGUUCAAGCUGAUAUUUAUAAACUUCACCUCAACCAAGUUUGUAUAUGUAGUCAAGACUUUGCAGGACGGAUAGAUUAUCCACUAGUCGAUCUUCCACAAGAACCAUGUAGAGUAUGGCUAGCUCCUUAUAAACUUGCUAUCGUAGCAUGUUAAGUUGGAGUAAUUAUAUCUAUAAUUGAACUAUAUUGUUUUACAGUCACCAUAAGAAUUGUAAUUCCUACAACCAUUUUUAAUUCGCUCUUUCUGUUUUAUAUAUUUUUGUGGUUAAAGUUACUUUUGCUAGAUUUUGUUUGGACAUGGUUAUUUUGCAAAUCGAGUCAUCUUUAACAUUUCACCCCCAAAAUAAACUUAAAAGUAUUAAAAGAAGUAGUCCUAAAUUAAUAGGAAAAGGUCAUUAAAAAACAGCAAGAACUUUAAUUAUCAGGGUGCAACAAUUUACAACCAAUCCAACAACCAACCGUACAAGGGCCCUCGUGAUGACCUAUUUGCACUUAUCCACUCGUUUUGCAAAGUAGCAUUUACUUGCACGUACUCUCUACCUUGUGAUCUAUAAAUAGAGGUUUUGCAUGGGACACUAUACUCACCAGUUCUUUCUUCCAUAUAAAUUUUGAAUACAUUAUAUAUAACAAAAAUAGUAUUUUAAGAGAUCGUCGCCUACGAUGGCUUCAAAAGCAUUGCUUUUUUUAAGUCUCAUUGUUGUUCUUCUUAUAGCUUCUGAGGUGGUAGCCAGAGACCUCGCUGAGAAAUCGGCAGAGCAGAAAAACAAUGGUACAUAAUAAAAUUCAGACUAGUUUUAUUUUUGUUCCCAUAAAGUUAUAAAUUACUCGAGAUCGUUGUAUAUUUGUAACAUAACGACCAUGUUAUUCUAUAGAUCACUUUCAAAGUAUGGUUUAUUGUACAAAGACCUAAUCCUCCUUAUUCACAACCCUUAAUAAUUUGGCCUGCUUUAAUUACAAAAAAACUCAUACUAAUCACGAAUCGCUCAUGUUUAUUACAAAUACUUUAUAAAGUAGUGACAAUAUCUGAAUAUAUCAUUAAGCACAAUUACUAAUAUAUAUUCAUUUUGAGUAACAGAAAGAGACGAAGUAAAGCAAACGGAGCAGUUUGGCGGGUUUCCAGGAGGAGGGUAUGGAGGGUUCCCGGGAGGAGGGUAUGGAGGAAACCCUGGUGGAGGAUAUGGAAACCGUGGUGGUGGAUAUAGAAACCGUGAUGGAGGAUAUGGAAACCGCGGUGGAGGAUAUGGAAACCGAGGAGGAGGAUAUUGUCGCUAUGGUUGCUGCUACAGAGGCUACUACGGUGGCUGCUUCAGGUGUUGUGCUUAUGCUGGUCAGGCUGUUCAAACUCAGCCACAGAGUACUGAGCCGGGUCACUAAAAGUCGUAAAAUGAUGCAUAUAUAUCAAUGAUUCCUCAGGCUGUAUAAAGGGAACAAUUAAGAUAUAGUAAUUACUAGGGUUGAAAAAGUCAUUACAAAGAUAAGAGAUUGGUUUGUACUCUAUUGCUUAUGUUUUAUUUUUAAGUUUGUGUUGUAACAAAGGGAAAAUGUCAAAAAAAGCCUCAACUUUCAAAUUUGGGAUGAAAAAAGCAUGAACUUUUAAAAUGUCAUUUUAAUCAUGAAGUGUUUGUUGAUUUCUCAAUAAAAUAGGUAAGUUUCGUUGACUGGGCCGUUUAAGACAUGCCGUUAAAUUUCCGUUAACGGAAUAAUCACAGAGUUAACUUUCCGUUAGAAACCUAAAACGACGUCGUUUUAAAAUUAAAAAUAAAACAAAAAAUGGCAAUAGCCUAUGCUCGUUCAUGUGACAUGUGAAACUCCUUACAAGCUUUUAAACCAAUUUGCCACAGUAAAAUUAUUGUCUAGGUUCAGCAAACAAAGUUUAUAUCAAAUAUCUAUCAAACUAAAUUGAAACUACGAAAACUCCAUUGUUUUCUCACGUUCGUAAAACCCAAUCACAUUUCAGUUUCAAUGUUGAUUGUUAGGUUUGCUAUUCAAAUCUGUGUUUUCUUCAUCAAAAAUUGAACAUGAGCUUGAAAUUACUAUCUUAUGGAUCGAGAUUCCGCUGGAUCUCCUACUCUAGACUCACCAAAUCAAUAUGAAUUUUAUUCUCAAUUCAAUUAUUUUUCAAACCCAAAUUAAUGAAUUAUUAAAAAUUCUGAGAAGGUGAACACCCAGGAGCUGGUUAAUGCUCAAACCACGACGGAUCUAGAUUACGGAGAGAGAACUCCGACUCUAGAGGAAUGAAUGGAGGAGACGAAUGAGAAGAAGAACUAUGAAGAAGAUGAUAUUUUAAGUAUAUAUUUACUUUUGUUUUUCAUUAUAUCAAAAUGGAAGUUUGGCUUGAGUUCCUCUGCGUAGCGGUUCGAGUCUACGCUAUAGCCAUUUUUCUGUUUUAUUUUUAAUUUUAAAACGACGUCGUUUUGGGUUUCUAACAGAAAGUUAACUCUGUGAUCGUUCUGUUAACGGAAAUUUAACGGCAUAUCUUAAACGGUCCAGUCAACGAAACUUUGCUAUUUUAUUGAGAAGUCAACGAAAACUUCAUGAUUAAAAUGACAUUUUCAAAGUUCAUGCUUUUUUCAUCCCAAAUUUAAAAGUUGAAGCUUUUUUUGACAUUUUUCCCAAUAAUCUAUGUUCAUGUGAUAAAGUAUGUUUGGAUUCAAACUUUUUUAAAUCAUUGGGUCCUAAACUAAUUAAUAUUGAUAGUUUAAUAUAUAAUUUAAUUAUUUAGAUAUUUGAAUUUGACUAUUUAAGAAAAAACUUAACCAUUUAAAUGUUGAUGUGUCAUGAUAAAAUUAUAUACCCCCAACAAAUUAUAAACUAAAAUUCUCUUAAUUAUAUACCCCCAACAAAAAUGCCUUUAGAACUUAAAAAUCAAACCUCUACCUUCGCAUCACCAUCCGACUUGUGUAUUCAACUAUCAAUUGUUCAUCUUCUUUCGUAUUUAAAGCUAUAAACUCUUAAUUUUUGAAACCAUAUGAACCAUUAAAAUAAAUUUGUAAUUUCCAGACUUAUAUAAUUUGUAAUCAGAAUUUAACCCCUCUUAUCCCAUGUUAUUUUCUAUUUUGUUAGUUUUCAUUUAUGUUUGUUACGUAUAUUCUUGUUGUAUUUUUUUCACAAAUUUUCAAAGACAAUAGCAAAAAGGUACUUCCUUAGUUUUUGUUGAAUUUCGUAUACAAAAGAAAAACUAUAAAAUUUCAUUACUUGGUUUCUGUUUUUUAUUGAGAAUAUGUAGAAAUUAUCCAAAGAAAUGAAAAGAAUUAAGUAACUUAGCAUGAGUUAUAGUGAUUUAAUUUGUUAAGAGGGUAGAUGAAAUGAUCUAAUAAAACCUUUGUUUUUUUUUGUUUUUUUUUUGAAUGUAAUGUUAAAUUAUAUUCAAAAAGAAAAGGUGUCUUUGGUACAACAAAGUGCAACGUUAGCUGAAAAGAGGCUAAAAAAGAAAGCUAAGAAGAAAACCUAAACAUCAAAUGAGGUUUAUAUUGAACAUUGAGACUGAAACGAGAGUUGUAGCCCCUUGUUAUAGCGACUAUCACCACUGCUUCGAAUUGUUGAUAGCCUAUUCCGGACUUGACUGUCGACCCAUUUGAUUAACAAAGGUGCUGAGGUUGGCUUCUCUCCAUGUUUUCUUCUAUUCCGUUCACGCCAAAUAGUGUAGACCACGGUUUGGAAGACAUAUCGCACUACAAAGCUCUCUGUUCUGUCACUCCAAGGUGCAGAAAUCGUGUUAAGUAGCGUGUGCCAGUUCGAAGUGUAUCUUGUCUUGAAUAUAUUUGCCGCUAGGUCUUUCCAAAUGCGUGAGACAAAGCUGCAGGCAAAGAAGAGAUGAUCCCGGGUUUCUAGAUCAUUGUUGCAGAAAAUGCAUGUUACCGAGACGCCAUUGUUCCAUUGGUGCAUUUUAUCUCCCGUAGAGAGACGAUUACGAGCUGCGAGCCAGACGCAAAAAUAUUGUUUCGGGGUAUUAUGAUGAAACCAGAUUUUGCGAUACCAGUUUACCUCAGAAGCCUUUGAACGAAUAUGGUGCCAAGUUUCUUUUGUGGAGAAACUCGCUUUGUAGACAUCGUUUUUUCCCUGCCAUAGAACCUUGUCAUCUAUGUCGCUUCUCCUUGUUUUUGGUUUUCUAGUGCUUCUUCCAUUUGAUUUAGAAUUUCAGCUCUAUGCCUGCGACGUCGGCGUUUAUCCCAUGCUUCCACCACCGUCAUUUGCCGCUGAAUUCCCAUAUCAAUCAUUCCUCGAUCCCCAACUUUCUCAACCAUUUGACCCAUGUUUGACCAAUCAUCAUACCAGAAUGAAGUGCAGUUACCUUUGUUCACUUCGACCUUACAAAAGUUUUUUGCCUUCUCCCUGAAUUUAAUAAGCUUUCUCCACAUCCAUGAGCCCAAUGUUGUGUUCUCCUUUACAAACCAAAAUGUUUCGUUCUUUAAUAGAAACUUUUCUAUCCAUUUGACCCAGAGCGAAUUACCAUGAGAGACAAUUUUCCAGACCACUUUAAGACAACAAACGUCAUUUGCCUCCUUCAAAGACCUUAACCCUAAACCCCCUUCUUUCUUGGGUUUACAAACAUCAUCCCAGGAUACUUUAGCUUUACGCGGGUUUAAAUCUUGACCAGACCAGAGAAAAGAAGAGCAGAGUUUGUCAAUGUCUCGUAUGCAUUCCCGUGGUAACCUGAAAGCGAAGAGCCAAAAGUUGCAGAUACUCCAGAGGACCGAAGAUAUGAGAUUGAGUCUCCCAGCGUUAGAGAGGUACCUAUGAGUCCAGGACCCAAUUUUCCUCUUAAGUUGUUCUAACAGAGGAGCAUAAUCUGUAGCAGUGAGCCGCUUAGUAAGCAAUGGUAGACCCAAGUAUCUUACUGGGAGUUGACCAACCUCAAAGUGAAACUUUUCCUGAAUUUCUCGCUGAUGUGAACCAAGGUUACCCGCCAUGUAUAUAGUUGACUUCUCCAUACUUAUACGCAAUCCAGAUUUUUUAGCAAACUCGUCAAACACUUACACUAUUCCUUCAAUAGAUCGAGUCUUACCAUCUGAUAACACCAUGAGAUCGUCCGCAAAGCUAAGGUGGGUGAGCCCAAUGUUUUUACAUUUAGGAUGGUAGCCGAAUUUUCUUGCAUCAGCCGCCUUUGAAGCAUGCGAGAGAGAACAUCCAUACUUAUAACAAAGAGGUAAGGAGAGAGAGAGCAUCCUUGACGCAAUCCUCGGGAGCUUUUGAAGUAGUCUGCUAGUUCACCAUUAACCUGGACCGAAAAAGAGGCCGUAGUAACACAGAGCAUGAUCCAAUGAAUAAAUUAUGGGGGAAAAUCCAUGACAGAGAGAACGUUCUUGAGAAAAGACCAUUGAACUGAAUCGAAAGCCUUAAAUGUCGAUUUUUAUUGCACAACGACCCGAUAUCGAAUCUUUGUGGUAGUCCUUCACUAGCUCUGUCGUGAGGAGCAAGUUCUCUAGCAAAAGCCUAUCUUGAACGAAAGCAGAUUGAUUGCCCGCAAUGAAGUUUGGUAGCAACCGUUUGAGCCUAUUGGCUAUGAUUUUCGAUAUGACUUUAUAGAUCACAUUGCAGCAAGAGAUUGGUCGGUAAUCUUUCAUUUCUAUUUCCUCCAGCUUCUUGGGAAUAAGAGCCAGAAUUGUUGAGUUUACUCCUUUCGGUAAGAAACCCUUUUCAAAAAAAGAUUUUAUUGCUAAGACAAACUCCUCACCAAUGAUAUCCCAAGUUGCCUUGUAGAAUUCAGUUCUGUAGCCAUCUGGCCCGAGUGAUUUAUCUUUUGGCAUUGAGAAAACAACCCUCUUGAUUUCCUCCUUUGUAACCUCAGUAGUAAGCAUACCUUUAUCCUCCUCUGAACAACGAAAUGUCAUCAAAGUUUCUAGCUCGCAUAAUCAUUUGGUAUGAGUUGGAGAAAUUCUCGAAAAAAUCUCUCAGCUUCUACUUUAAUUUCCUCCUUUUCAGACGUGAUACUACCAUCUGGCCUUUUAAUCUCACGGAUUGUGUUUUGAGCCGCUCUCGUCAUGAUCGCUCUAUGGUAAGCUUUAUUAUUCUGGUCCCCAACCUACAACCAGUGAAGCUUAGCCUUCUGUUUCAGGAACUUUUCUUCUAGACCUGCAACCUUUACCCAUCUGUUAUAGACCUCUGUUUCUUCUUCCAUACUUUGUGGGGAAGGAUUGUUUGCGUGUUGUUCCUGCUUUUUACAGAGAAUGUCAUAAGCCUCCUUUGACUUUGUUACCAGAUUUCCCAAUCUUUCUUUAGCCAAUUUCCAAAUCCCUGGCUUUAAGAUCUUUAGCUUUUUUGAAAAACGAAACAGAGUUGAAGUGGACAUGAAGAGUGGUUCUGUUUUGUUCCAAUGUUCUUUCACCAUCGGCUUAAAAUCCUCCAUUUCUAUGAUCGCGUUGACAAACUUAAAAGGUUUUGGGCCUUUUACACUUCGUUCGGCUGCAUCAUUAAGCAUUAUCCUACAGCGUAGAUGAUCCGAACACCCCCCUGCUUCGAAUACAUUGUACGCCUGCGAAAACGACUGAGCCCAAAUAUCGUUCACCAUCACUCUAUCCAACUUCUUUAGUAUGAGAUCUUGUUCUUUUUUAUUACACCAAGUGUAUAACGGACCAUGGGAAGCCAUGUCUGAAAGAUCACAUGAGCGAAUCAUUUGUUGAAAAUCUCUCAUUCCACUCGUCACCACCGGAUUACUAUCACAGUUCGAGUGUUCUUUCAUAUCGAGGGUCACGUUGAAAUCUCCAAAAAUUAACCAUGGCUUACUACUAAUUAUUGGAGAGUCCUUGUGGUCUUGUAGUUCUGCCCAUAAGUUUUUCCGUUCUUCCACAAAAUUUGAAGCAUAAACAAAGGAGCAGAAGAAUUCCUCUAGUUGAUCUUCUAACUUAACCGAACAAGUUAUGAGUUGACCACUUUUGUAGAAAGGGGUAAGCCUCACGUUACUUUUCCAAAGAACCCAAAUCCUGCCUCUCCUAUUAAAUUCAUAAUUUGUUAAAACCGACCAUCCUGGAAACAACUUUUCACUCAGCUCCUGCAUCUUAUUCUCCUGGACCCGUGUUUCAAGUAAACAACCAAAUUGAAAAUUUUGUUCUUGAACCCAUUUCUUUAUGAUUGGAUGCUUUGCAGAUUCGUUUAAACCACUGACAUUCAAGAAGAAACCCGUCAUUUAGCGAUGCUUUGGAGGGAGCCCUAAACUCUGACCACUAGGAGUGUGCCUAGUUGAAGGAGUAGAAGGAUUGGAGAGCACUUUAUGUGCAGACUUUGAUCCACGGGGUAAAGAUGCCCGAGGUGGCAGCUCUAAAACCCGUGACCUUACCACUGAGUUUUUUUUUCCUUAUUUUCCACCUCUUGUGUUUGAGUAUCCGCCUGUUUAGACUUCUCCUCAGGCUCGUGAGGUUCCAUCUCUUUAGAUAUUUCCUCCCCUAUAUCCUCUGCGCCACGAAGUACAAAGUAUGAGUUUGAUAAAAUAGAAACUUCUCCAAACUUCAAUCCUACAUGACUUUUCCCGGGGCUAAGCGUAGUCUUAGGAGUGAUCCAUCCUUCAUCCUCUCCUCUCUCUACCUCUACUUCCCCCGGAGCGUUAGAUUGAAUCUUAGGCACCUCAUCCAAAGUUACAUGAACAACUUCCUUAGCUUUUCCCGUAAUUGGAGAGGAUGGCUGAACUGGUUCUGAAGCAACUGCGGGAAUGGUUACAAAAUCACUAUUCCCCGUGCUGGUUUUCUCAAUAGAUAAACAUGUUUCUUUAAGAUGACCCCAUUUACCACAUCCAUUAAAUCUCGGAGGCAGCCAAGGAUAUGAAUAUGUAAUAACAGCAUCGAGCUCUCCUUCUUCCUCACCCGUGAAUACGUACUCUCUAGGUAGAUCUUUUGUUAGGUCUGCUUCUAUUAAGAUUUGUGCUUCAUCAAAACUCACACAAGCUUCCGUUUUUGGAUGUAACCGUAUUGGCUUACCCACUGCACUAGCCAAGAACUCCAAACCUUUAUCAGUGAACAUUGACGGGGGAACAUCUGUGAGAGUAACCAAAAGCUGAAUGGAUUUCAUAGCUGGUUGAGAAUCUUCUUGAAAAGGCGUCCACUUCGAGAGCACCAUCGGAAUGUCCAUAAUGUUCCACAUUCUUCUAUUCAGCACUCUCCUCCUCAUUGCCUCAUUCCUUAUGCGAAAUUUGACUGUUGUUGCGUUUACUUCAUACACAUCAAUUAAGUUUAAAUUAUCUCCAAAUUUUAUUCACAAUCAUGUGAAUCUUUCCCACAUGCGGGGCCUUCGUACUAAGGAAUCGACCAACCAAAAAAUCCUCCCAGAGAGGUUUUGCACCUGCAAAAAACCUCUUUCGGAACAACCACUCUUUCUUUACCAUCAACUGCAUCUACCACAAACUUUUGUUUUGUGAAGAUAUGUUUUUUUGCAGCGUUGAGCCAUGAUUUCUUAACUGGUGGAGACACCACCUCAACAACUGUUGGAGUAGCAUCUAGACCUAACGAGAUCUGCUGGUCUGAAACUGUCUCACUUGUAUCCGACACCAAAACCCCUUGCUCACCCUUCUUCGUAUCAUCAGAUUUCUCCUCCUGACUCUCUAGAAUCGGUAAACUGUUAGCCAAAUCAAUGGCCGACACCGAAACCUCACCGGAAGUGACUGGAGAGGCUGUCGGCUGCAGCAUUCUUGCUUGGUACGCAAAAAAAACUAAUCGCCUUUUUUUGUCUCCUGCCACGUCAGCCCUUUUUCUUCUUUUUAACCUUUGUCUUUCUCUUUCUUCUUUGUUUGAUUUCUCUCUCGUUUUUACCACUCUUAGAUAAAUUAUAGGUAUGCUGCCAAUCUCUCUCUUGAUAAAUCUAGGCUGCCAAGUGUUCUUCAUAUUGAUGGGUUUUCUCUCCCUCAUUUUGUAGAUAAUCUCUUUAUUUCUUUGGUCGGAAUUCAAUCUUUCUUAAAUUUUUCGUUGUCAUGUCUUUUUCUAUAAUUCUUUGUCACUUUCUUCCGUAACAUGUUAUUUCUUUGAAUUACACGUAAUAGCAGAAUAUCUCUCUCUUUAAAAUGUUACUUUUUUGUAUUACAUGUUAUUUAUUAAGAUCACAUGUAAUUUGUUUUUAAAACAUGAUUUUAAUGUUAAAACACUUUAUUUUUCUACGCUUUUCUUUAAGUAUAAUAUGAUUUUUUUUUAUUAAAUGACAUGUUCUUUUAGAGCGAUAAGAAAAAAAUUACAAGUUUUUCUUUAUCUUUAAUUUUUCGUAGUGCAAAUGUUAAAUCAGAUUCUUUAGUACAAAAAAUUCGUACCGAACCGCAUCAUAUUACCUAUGUAAACAAUAUUUCUCAAAGAUAACUCUUUUGAACUUAAUUAUUAUUGGUUGACAAAAAAACAUGUUUUUUUCACAAAUAACAAUACGCUACUGCAUUUUUGUCUAUGUUUAAGAAGAAAUUUUCACAAAAGUGGACGAAAAAAGAUUUGCUCUAACCGUUUGUCAAAGUGAGAACUGGUUUUCACGUUUUGUCUUUUCAUUCAAUUUCGGACCAAAUUACCCUGGGAAAACUUAAUAAUGGCACAAACCAAACCGUGCAGCAGUUCGUAUCGGUUGAGUUGACGGCGUAAACCAAACCCUACAGCAGUUGGUUUCGGUUUAGUUGAUGCGGUUCAGUUUUGAAAAAGACAAAAAAAAAAAACUGAAACGAAG
rnacentral:lncRNA from 1 species